rnacentral:rRNA from 1 species
AUCUGGGCGGCGGAAUUCAGGGUGGCUGGCGAUGCUCUCGCGGUGCGUCGGUCGUUUGAUAUUUCCGUCGCCAACUAACCGCAGACGUCGCGACCUGUUCGCGGUCGGUCGCUGAGCCACGUUCGAGCUCGUUGUGUGCGUGUUUCGGCGCGUCACACGGCGAAUGCGUGGAUUUCUGGCUGGCCGUCGGACAGUAUGCUAAACGGUGUCCGGUGUCGUCGUCUGCGCGGCAUCGGUACCGAGAUCAGCGACGAAUUCUUCGGGCCUCUUUCCGACCCGUCUUGAAACACGGACCAAGGAGUCUAACAUGCGCGCGAGUCGCGGGGUAUCGAGCGUACUUCGGUGCGUUCGUUAUGUUGCGAAACCCGUACAUGUCGAAGGCGUAAUGAAAGUGAAUGGGGAAGAUGGUGGUCCGAGUACACGUUCCGCGAUCGUCGGUAUCGCGGCCGGUCACCCGCAUUCCCAGGGCGUCUCAACGGCCCGUCGUUGAUGCGGACAGUCGUCUUUCGGGGCGGCUGUCGGUCGGCGACGAACCGA